rnacentral:lncRNA from 1 species
AAAAGUUAAACCUACAGAGAAGGAUUAGCAUAAAUCUAGUAUGUAUUCAGGAAUGAGUUUACAAGCAGCCUUGGAAAACUUUGUCCUUUAGAGACCUUUGGUCUCUGAGGAAGUAGUAGUGGAAACGUUGGGCUCAAGAAACAAAAAGGAUGAAAACAAUAGUUCAAAACAGGCACAAGUUUUAUAUAUGACAUGAGGAAUAAAAUGUUUCAGGAUCACAAGAAGGAUGUCUCAGCUUUAAAAGGUGCUGCCUUCUAAAAUACAGAAG